UGGAAAAUAGUGUAAAGCACAUUAACCUUUGAAGUUAAAAGAAACUAUCCAA
rnacentral:tRNA from 1 species